CCUACGGGAGGCAGCAGUGAGGAAUAUUGGUCAAUGGACGAGAGUCUGAACCAGCCAAGUAGCGUGAAGGAUGACUGCCCUAUGGGUUGUAAACUUCUUUUAUAAAGGAAUAAAACGAGGCACGUGUGCCUUUUUGCAUGUACUUUAUGAAUAAGGAUCGGCUAACUCCGUGCCAGCAGCCGCGGUAAUACGGAGGAUCCGAGCGUUAUCCGGAUUUAUUGGGGUUAAAGGGAGCGUAGAUGGGUUGUUAAGUCAGUUGUGAAAGUUUGCGGCUCAACCGUAAAAUUGCAAUUGAUACUGGCAGUCGUGAGUACAGUUGAGGUAGGCGGAAUUCGUGGUGUAGCGGUGAAAUGCUUAGAUAUCACGAAGAACCCCGAUUGCGAAGGCAGCUUACUAAACUGUGACUGACAUUGAUGCUCGAAAGUGUGGGUAUCAAACAGGAUUAGAUACCCCUGUAGUC
rnacentral:rRNA from 1 species